AGAGCGAACGCUGGCGGCAGGCCUAACACAUGCAAGUCGAGCGCCCCGCAAGGGGAGCGGCGGACGGGUGAGUAACACGUGGGAACGUGCCCUUCGGUUCGGGAUAACUCAGGGAAACUUGAGCUAACACCGGAUACGCCCUUCGGGGGAAAGGUUACGCCGAAGGAUCGGCCCGCGUCUGAUUAGCUUGUUGGUGGGGUAAUGGCUCACCAAGGCUACGAUCAGUAGCUGGUCUGAGAGGAUGAUCAGCCACACUGGGACUGAGACACGGCCCAGACUCCUACGGGAGGCAGCAGUGGGGAAUCUUGCGCAAAUGGGCGAAAGCCUGACGCAGCCAUGCCGCGUGAAUGAUGAAGGUCUUAAGGAUUGUAAAAAUUCUUUCAGCGGGGAAGAUAAUGACGGUACCCGCAGAAGAAGCCCCGGCUAAACUUCGUGCCAGCAGCCGC
rnacentral:rRNA from 1 species